rnacentral:misc_RNA from 1 species
GAUGAAGAACGUAGCGAAAUGCGAUACUUGGUGUGAAUUGCAGAAUCCCGUGAACCAUCGAGUCUUUGAACGCAAGUUGCGCCUCAAGCCAUUAGGUUGAGGGCACGUCUGCCUGGGCGUCACAUAUCGUUGCCUGAUGCCAGUUUCCUCGUGAUGGGUGACUGUGCAGGGCGAAUGAUGGCUUCCCGUGAGCAUUGUUGCCUCAUGGUUGGUUGAAAAUUGAGUCCUUGGUAGGGAGCGCCGUGAUAGAUGGUGGUUGAGUGACGAACGAGACCCAAUCAUGUGAGACCCCUACCGAAUUUGGCCUUCAUGACCCACAUGCGUCUUUGGAACGCUCAUGACGAGACCUCAGGUAAGGCGGGGCUACCCGCUGAGUUUAAGCAUAUCAAUAAGCGGAGGA